GUUAGUACUUGGAUGGGUGACCGCCUGGGAAUAC
rnacentral:rRNA from 10 species